AAUAGAUACCCGGGUAGUCCUGGCCCUAAACGAUGAGUGCUUGGUGUGGCGGGUAUCGAUCCCUGCCGUGCCGAAGCUAACGCAUUAAAGCACUCCGCCUGGGGAGUACGGUCGCAAGGCUGAAACUCAAAGGAAAUUGACGGGGGCCCGGCACAAGCGGUGGAGCAUGUGGUUUAAUUCGACGCAACGCGAAGAACCUUACUCAGGCUCGAAAUGCAGACGAUCGCCGGUGAGAGCCGGUUCCCGCAAGGGCGUCUGUAUAGGUGCUGCAUGGCUGUCGUCAGCUCGUGUCGUGAGAUGUUGGGUUAAGUCCCGCAACGAGCGCAACCCUUGUCUUCUGUUGCCAUCAGGUCAAGCUGGGCACUCUGGAGAAACUGCCGGUGACAAACCGGAGGAAGGUGGGGAUGACGUCAAGUCAGCAUGGCCUUUAUGUCUGGGGCUACACACGUGCUACAAUGGCCGGUACAAACCGUUGCAAACUCGCGAGGGUGAGCUAAUCGGAGAAAGCCGGUCUCAGUUCGGAUUGU
rnacentral:rRNA from 1 species